AUUGAACGCUGGCGGCAGGCCUAACACAUGCAAGUCGAACGAGUGGCGGACGGGUGAGUAAUGUCUGGGAAACUGGCUGAUGGAGGGGGAUAACUACUGGAAACGGUAGCUAAUACCGCGUACCAUAGGAUGAGCCCAGAUGGGAUUAGCUAGUAGGUGGGGUAAAGGCUUACCUAGGCGACGAUCCCUAGCUGGUCUGAGAGGAUGACCAGCCACACCGGAACUGAGACACGGCCCAGACGCCUACGGGAGGCAGCAGUGGGGAAUAUUGCACAAUGGGGGCAAGCCUGAUGCAGCCAUGCCGCGUGUAUGAAGAAGGCCUUCGGGUUGUAAAGUUCUUUCAGCGGGGAGGCGUUACCCACAGAAGAAGCACCGGCUAACUCCGUGCCAGCAGCCGCGGUAAUUC
rnacentral:rRNA from 1 species